rnacentral:rRNA from 1 species
CACGUAGGAGGCGAGCGUUGUCCGGAAUCAUUGGGCGUAAAGAGCGCGCAGGCGGCUUGGCAAGUCGGGUGUGAAAUCCCGGGGCUCAACCCCGGGACUGCAUUCGAUACUGUCAGGCUAGAGGUAGGUAGGGGAGAUCGGAAUUCCUGGUGUAGCGGUGAAAUGCGCAGAUAUCAGGAGGAACACCGAUGGCGAAGGCAGGUCUCUGGAACGGUACUGACGCUGAGACGCGAAAGCGUGGGGAGCGAACAGG